GAAGCUGAAAUAUCCUGACCAGAGAGAUGCUCACCGGACUGUCCUAAGCUGGAGAGGGGUGUGUGCCCCCUUCCAGGACCAGGCUCUGCUUCCCUCACUGCAACUCAGAGAUGGGCUCUCCAGGACCAAGAGUCAGAAGGCAAUGGAUCAGGGGAGAGGCACCCUGGCAGGGUGAGUUGGGAGGAGAGCAGACCUUGAGCCUCCCCACAGCUCAGCCGGGCUUCCAGAUGCCCAUCUGCUUCAAAAAGCCAUUCUGCACCAGGCAAGGUUCGAGGCUUCUCUGACCCCGUGUAAGAGCUUCACAUCAUGGUGUCUCGACCUUCGAAGUUUCCUCCUCCAGGAAUGCCCUUCCUCCCCUGUCUGCUCAGCUAGCUCCUAGUCCUUCUUCAAAAAUCUACUAAAUGACUUCUCUGGUGGUUCAGUGAUUAAGAAUCUGCCUGCCAAAAAUAUAAGGGACACAGGUUCGAUCCCUGGUCCAGGAAGAUCCCACACACAGUGGGGCAAUUAAGCCCAUGCGCCACAACAACAGAAUCACACGUGCUGUAGAGCCUGCCUGCCACAGCUACUGAAGCCCAUGCACCCUAGAGUCUGCGCUCAGCAACAAGAGAAGCCACCACAACGAGCAGCCCGUGCGUUACGACUAGAGAGUUGACCCAGCUCCCAGCAAUGAAGACCCAGUGCAGCC